GACCACGCGGUGGGAGAAGCGUCCGCCCCGGGCACCCCGGCCGGCCGCUGCCGAAGGCGCAACGCCCGUAAUCGCUCAGGCCCCAGACCGCCGCGUGUAC
rnacentral:ncRNA from 1 species